UUUUCAGUUUAAAGAUCUACUGUCCGUUUUUAUUUGAUUCAAGUCCAGUUAAUUUAUAAUUUAGUAAAGAUCCAUGUCCAGUCAAUGUGAUCCUUGUCCAGUCAAGUUGUUAUUAUAGUCCAUGUGAUCCUUGUUCAGCCAAGUUGUUAUUAUAGGUCUGGGAAAGUGCAAUAGAUGUUCUGAUGUUCAAUGGAAAAGGUCACACCCUGCUUGUAGAAUACAUCUGAACCUCAUUUAGG